rnacentral:rRNA from 1 species
UACGUAGGGUGCAAGCGUUGUCCGGAAUUAUUGGGCGUAAAGAGCUCGUAGGCGGCUUGUCACGUCGACUGUGAAAACCCGAGGCUCAACCUCGGGCCUGCAGUCGAUACGGGCAGGCUAGAGUUCGGUAGGGGAGACUGGAAUUCCUGGUGUAGCGGUGAAAUGCGCAGAUAUCAGGAGGAACACCGGUGGCGAAGGCGGGUCUCUGGGCCGAAACUGACGCUGAGGAGCGAAAGCGUGGGGAGCGAACAGG